CAUCCACGUGGCCGCAUGUCCAGGUGCCAAAGGUAUAUCAUCUUCUCUCGAAGAUGAUAACCUGGUAUCAAUUCAAGCGCAAAACAUAGCCUCUGAAUUGAUUCAAGACCGUUUCGCAUUUAACCUUCACGAGGUUGCACCUGUUUCAUACAGAAAAUGUUACGGAUCUCGUUUUGAUCCACUAGAUGUACCAUACGCUGGUUUAUCUAGGGGAUUAAAAUUAAAUUAUAUAUUAAAAAUUCGCUUUCGCCCAUUAAAUUCUUACACAAUUAAUCUAUUUUUAAUGGCGAACCAGAGGAAUAAGUGUAACCUAUCAUAUCCUUCAAUAACUCUUUAAUUUAUUUUCCACACGUGCCAACAUGUUGUUCAAAAUGAUGGAUUAAAGGAAUCUUGAGAUAUCUAUCUACAACUGGUUCCUUACUCUACGUGUAAGAUUUUUGUUUCGAGUGCGAGAGUAUUCGGAUUCAUAUUUGGGAAAUUGUACCAACUUGAGAUAUCUUCAACUGGCUUCUUGGUAGACGGCAGCGAUAUGUUCCAGAAUAUGUUCCAACAUAUAAAAUUAACAUCACGGUUACACUAAAUUUCUUAAAUGAGCGGUAAAAUCUAAGGAAAUUACAUGUCAAAAGGUGAUCGAAUAGAAAAAAAAUGCACGUGUUAAGUAAA